rnacentral:rRNA from 1 species
UACAGAGGGUGCGAGCGUUAAUCGGAAUUACUGGGCGUAAAGGGCGCGUAGGCGGUCUGUUAAGUUCGGUGUGAAAUCCCCUGGCUCAACUGGGGAACUGCGCUGGAAACUGGCAGACUCGAGUACCGGAGAGGAGAGUGGAAUUCCUGGUGUAGCGGUGAAAUGCGCAGAUAUCAGGAAGAACACCCGUGGCGAAGGCGGCUCUCUGGGACGGUACUGACGCUGAGACGCGAAAGCGUGGGGAGCGAACAGG